rnacentral:rRNA from 1 species
AUGGUUUCCUCCAAGAACACCGCGCUUCUUUUCCUGGCCGUGCUGCUGCUCUCGUGCGCCGCAAUGGCCAGCGCGGCACGGGGCCUGGAGGAGACGGCGCCUGAGGACGACUACCCGGCCGAGGCGCCCGAGGUGGCGCCGGAGCACGAGCUGCUGCCGCCGUUCCCGGGGUUGCCGUCGUUCCCGAAGGUCGAGCUGCCCCCCAUGCCCGAGAUGCCUACGAUUCCCGGGUUCAGCUUUCCCGAGCUCGAGCCGGAGGCCGAUGAGCCGUGA